rnacentral:lncRNA from 1 species
AAAAUAGGUCUGUACAUUUUUGAGCACCCAAAGUGGUAAGAGACAUUCUUGAAAACAGCUUAAAAAUUUCUGUAGAUACCACCACAAAUAAUCCACACAAUACUUCAACAAGCAUUUAUUAAACGCCUACUAUGUGCUCAGCACUAUACUAGGCACUCGGGGGUGCAGAGAUACAAAUGUAAAAGUUAUUAUUCCUGCCCUCAAGGAGCUUACAAUUUAAUUUUGGAAAUAAAUACAAAUAUGAAACUGUAACACAGAGUGCUAGAAAAUAAUUACAAAGCAACAUAUUAGUAAGUACAUGGACCACAGUACAAACUCAAAAGAUAAGUGCUGAGGCAAGAGCUUGUAAGACAUCAGUAGAAGGCUGUAGGAAGUUUGAAUCUGUUGAAUCAAGGUGAAUAUGCUAGAGAGUAAUGAAGGCUGAUGAAUAUUAGGCAUAGAGGUAAUGGAGAAUUUGGAACACCACUGCUCCAUAGGAAUUAUCUACUGGGUGUUACUUAGUGAAAAUGAAAUUUUACAAUAGAGAUAUUGUAAAAAUGGGUGUUUGAGGAGGAUCGUCUUUGAAAAAUUAUCUACUGGGUGUUACUGAAAAUGAAAAUUUUACAAUACGGAUAUUGUAAAAAUGGAGUUUGAGGAGGAGCACCUUAGAAACUUUAUACAAGAUGGGGAUCCUGGGAGCAAGGAAAUUGGAAAAAAAAGAAUUACAGUAACCUGGGCCUCAGAUCUACAUGAAAAGCUAUAAUGGGAUGAGAGAAAUGGGAGAUCAAGCCUCAAGGAGAAAACUGAUUAAAAACUGGACUGACAGCAAGUUUUUGGACAUGGAGAAUGGAGAGCAGAAAAAGAUAACUCCAAGGCUGGGGUAAAAAUAUAAAGGUGGUGACACUUUUCAGGGCAAAGGAAUUACGCAAUGAGGCCUGUUUAAAAAGAAAACGGGGGCUGGGGAUAUAUGGUGAUGAAUCCUGUUUUCAAAUAUCAAGUUGUACAGGUACCUGUGGAAAAUUCCAAAAGUCACAAACUGACCCACAGGGUGGGAAAAAUGAAGUCAUUCGAAUACAAAUAGUAGGUAUAAACAAUCAAAAUGGAUAAAUAGGAGUAUAGAAAAUGAAGUGAAUAAAAGACAGGGAGAUUAUUCUCAGUGGAGAAGAGGAGAAAGGGGAGUGGGUGGAAAGAUCAACUAAAAAAAGAAAGACAGAUAUUAGAGAAAAAGGAUCCCACAAGCCAAAGGAGGGAGAAUUCAACAAUAUAAAAUAUAAAUUAGAUCAAAAAAGACAAGAAAUAAUAAUAAAAAAAGGCCUUAUUAUUUGUCCACUGGUGAGUCUAAGAACAUUUCACUGGAAUGCUAAGUAUGAAAGCCAGUAAAAAGAAGUUUUAAGAACAGAUUAAUGAAAAAGGGGGGAGAAAGUACUGAUGAAUAGUUCAUUUCAGAUGAACAUAAAGAUAGAAUCUAUAGGAUAAAGGAGCUUAAUGAAUGCCAUUCACAGUUAAGAGCUCAAAAUGUCAUACAGCCUAGUCAAUAAUAUUCUAUGCUAAGAGUGUGAACUUGAGACAAAGAAUGAUUUCUAGUGAUGUCCUCAAAGAAUCCACAGCCUUUUUCUAUUGUCUUAUACCAUUUGGCUAAUUCUGUAUAUGUGCUGUAUCAGCUUUGAUAAUUCUUUCAAGACACAGUCUUUUCUCACACCCAAUAUAACACUAAUUUUUCUAGUCAUAUUAUUUUCUCCAAAUUUAUGCCACAUGCUUAGUAAUUCUGAGAUUUAAGUAAUCUGGCUACAUAUUACUCUUAAUACUGACACAUAAAGAGACUUUAGCUAGUACAUCUGUAUACAUUUCAAUGUGUUGCUCUGGUCUAUGGCCAUACCACCCUGAAUGCACCCAAUUUUGUUAAUAUGUUGCAUUGCUAAAAGGACUUU